AUGGAGCUGGUGGGGAGAUCGCUCUUGCAGGCAGCAGGCUCUGCCAGCACCGCGGCGCCGCGCGGCGGCCGGGAGCGCGGGGGCGGCGGGCUCUGCUUCGCGAGCCUCGGCGGGAGGCAGGGGAGGAGGACGGUGCGUUCGAAGGCGCCGGUGGGCGCCCUGGCCGAGCGGGUCGUCCUCACCCCGGCGCCGGCGGAGAGGGUGGCCCGGCCGGAGGCGCACCCGCAGAGCGUGGCGGCGAGGGCCGUGGUCACCGUGCGCCGGAAGCGCAAGGUGGAGGUCAAGGAGCAGGUCGCCGAGCAGAUGGACGCCUACGCCGACAGGGUCGGCCGGAGCGUCCUGCUCGAGCUCAUCAGCACGGAGACAGACCCAAGAAAGGGAGGCCCCAAGAAGAGCAAGAAGUCGAAGCUGGUGGGGUGGUUCGAGAAGCGGGACGUCAAGGCGGAGCUGGUGGUGUACACGGCGGAGUUCACCGUCGACGCGGCCUUCGGCGAGCCGGGCGCGGUCACCGUGCUCAACCGGCACCAGCUCGAGUUCUUCAUCGAGAGCAUCCUGGUGGAGGGCUUCCCGUCCGGCCCGGCGCACUUCACCUGCAACUCGUGGGUCCAGCCCACCCGCGUCGACCCGGCCCCGCGGGUCUUCUUCACCAACAGGCCCUACCUGCCGUCCAAGACGCCGCCGGGGCUGAGGGAGCUCCGGCGACGGGAGCUCAAGGAGCUGCGCGGCAGCGGCACCGGCGUGCGCAAGAUCACCGAUCGGGCCUACGACUACGACGUGUACAACGACCUGGGCAACCCGGACAAGGGCGAGGGGUUCGAGCGCCCCGUCCUCGGCGGCGACAAGCUGCCGUACCCGCGCCGGAUGCGGACGGCACGGCCAAGCACCGUCACAGACGAGGGCGCGGAGAGCAGGGUGGAGUACCCGGAGCCCAUCUACGUGUCGCGCGACGAGGAGUUCGAGGAGGGCAAGAACGAGAUGCUGUCCGAGGGCGCCAUCAAGGCGCUGCUCCACAACUUCAUGCCGCUGCUGGUGAGCUCCGUCUCGCCGGACAGCCGCGACUUCGCCGGCUUCCACGACGUCGACAACCUCUUCAAGGAGGGCCUCCGCCUCAAGCAGGCCCUCCACGACCAGCUCUUCCAGAAGAUCCCCUUCGUGCGCAAGAUCCAGGAGAACAGCGAGGGCCUCCUUCGCUACGACACCCCCGACAUCAUCAAGAAGGACAAGUUCGCGUGGCUGCGCGACGACGAGUUCGCGAGGCAGGCGCUGGCUGGCAUCAACCCCGUCAACAUCGAGCGGCUUCAGGUGUUCCCGCCGGUGAGCAAGCUUGACCCGGCUGUCUACGGCCCGCCGGAGUCGGCCAUCACGGAGGAGCACAUCAUCGGGAACCUGGACGGCAUGUCGGUGCGGCAGGCGCUGGAGGAGAACAAGCUCUACAUGCUGGACUACCACGACAUCUUCAUGCCUUUCCUGGACCGGAUCAACUCGCUGGACGGCCGGAAGGCCUACGGGACGCGCACGCUCUUCUUCCUGACGGCCGGGGGCACGCUGAAGCCCAUCGCCAUCGAGCUGUGCCUGCCGCCCAUGACCGACGACUGCAAGCGCGCCAAGCGGGUGUUCACGCCCCCCGCCGAUGCCACCAGCAUCUGGCUGUGGCAGCUCGCCAAGGCCCAUGUCUGCUCCAACGACGCCGGCGUCCACCAGCUCAUCAACCACUGGCUGAGGACGCACGCGUGCAUGGAGCCCUUCAUCAUCGCGGCGCACCGGCAGAUGAGCGCCAUGCACCCCAUCUUCAAGCUGCUCAAGCCGCACAUGCGCUACACGCUCAAGAUCAACGCGCUGGCGCGGCAGAUCCUCAUAAACGGAGACGGCGUCAUCGAGUCGGGGUUCACCCCUGGCCGCUACUGCAUGGAGAUGAGCUCCUUCGCCUACGACAACCUCUGGCGGCUCGACCAGGAAGGCCUCCCCGCCGACCUCAUCAGAAGGUACCUACAAGCUUCACUUCAAAUGGCUCUGCUCCUAUCGACCGUUGCAGUAGCACAAAAAUUCAUUUGGUGCUUGGUUUGUCGCAGAGGUAUGGCGGUGGAGGACGCGAGCCAGCCGCACGGGCUCCGGCUGCUCAUCGAGGACUACCCCUACGCCACCGACGGGCUGCUCCUCUGGUCGGCCAUCGCGCGGUGGUGCGAGGCCUACGUGGCGGCCUACUACCCGUCCGACGAGGCCGUGCAGGACGACUACGAGCUGCAGUCGUGGUACACAGAGGCCGUGCAGGUGGGGCACCCGGACAAGCGCGACGCGCCGUGGUGGCCGCGCCUCACGACGGCCGGCGACCUCGCGUCCCUGCUCACCACGCUGGUGUGGCUGUGCUCGGCGCAGCAUGCGGCGCUCAACUUCGGCCAGUACCCGCUCGGCGGCUACAUCCCCAACCGGCCGCCGCUCAUGCGCCGGCUGGUGCCGGCCGAGGGCGACCCGGAGUACGAGCACCUCGUCGCGGACCCGCACCGGUUCUACCUGUCGGCGCUGCCCAGCCUCACGCAGACGACGACGUUCAUGACGGUCAUCGACACGCUCUCCACGCACUCCGCCGACGAGCAGUACCUCGGGGAGCGGCCCAACGAGGAGUGGACGGCGGACCCGGCGGCGCUGGCUGCCGCGCGCGAGUUCGCCGCGGAGGUGCGCCGCGCCGAGGAGGAGAUCGAGCGGCGCAACGCCGACCCCUCCCGGCGCAACCGCUGUGGCGCCGGCGUGCUGCCGUACGAGCUCAUGGCGCCGUCGUCCGGGCCGGGCAUCACCUGCCGAGGCGUCCCGAACAGCGUCACCAUCUAG
rnacentral:rRNA from 1 species